CCGUUUUCUGAGGUUUCACGCCGCUAAAGACAAAUACCAACGGAUCCGUCGAUAAUGAAAGUGAGGCCGUCCGGCGCCGGCUUAACUGGCCGAGUUCAUGGCGUUCCCUUGGACCGCGCCGCCAAAAAGUCCCUUCUUCUACGCUCUCAAGAUGGAUGUCGUGUCCUUGUCGCUCCGACGCGGCACGAACCGACAUUCAUGAGCAUUUCAUGGAGGAAGAAGAGUCGUAUCUGCUCUGAAAGGCAGCAGAAUGGAGGUUUGACCCUGAGUGACUAACAGGGAAACACGCAGCGCACACACACACACACACACACACACACCGCUCUGUCAAACCCGUCCUUCACCACGAAGACACCCCGACAGCUGUCCCCAUUCUCAUAAGACGCACUGUCCUCAUUGUGCGAGAUGAUGCCCGGCGACGCUUCCACGGACGGCUGACAUCGCCGCAGCUUUCCGCCCUGCGACCGCGGCGCUCUGAACCCGCUGUUAUUAUUUUUCCCCCCAAAAGGCUCCUCCGGAUCGUCCGCACGCGGCCGUGCGCCAUGGCCUCGCCGCCGAGCCGUCCGAUGGUUCGCUGCCUCUCGCUGCUCGUC
ensembl:lncRNA